ACGCAUACAUGGGAUUACCAUAUCAUUCUACGGCUCGUUUUCUAACGAUGAGUCGAUGGAACCUAGUUGCUGCAAGUGGAGAGACACAAGCAAGUUGGAGAGAGUUUUGUUUUGUCCCAAGGAAACCGGCAUUGUCUAGAUGCAUGGGGUCUAGUGGCCUACUCUAAUCCGCCGGCUGGCCUCGCGGCGCCGACAUGCCAACCGGCAGAGGGUAGUGGACAACUGGGCACUCGUUGCGGAGCUGAGCCGGUGAGCCCCGCGGCGGCAUCGGCCGGCUGCGUGCUUAUCGCUCAAGGCUCAAGCGUUUCGGAUAGGACCGUCAAGCCAGCAGCACAUGGUUCCGUCUCGUUGCCACGGGUGGUAUACAGCAGCCUCUGGAAACUGGGGCUACACGGACUCUCAGGCUCUCAGCUCAGGUGGAAAAGGUACGCUUCCUGGCUCUUCCGCUCUUGGAAAGGAUCAAAUUAAGAAAGUGCAAAAGAGAGGUGAAACGUCGUUUGCCUUCCAUCCUCCUGUGUUCUGUGGCUGCGGCCCUGCUCACGAUAGCUUUUGCUGCUGAUGCUAAACCAUCAUGAACCUUGACGGGUUCCAGAGUGGUGGUAGUUUUCGUCAUUGAUUACGGUUGAAACACUUCAUUUGUGGGUUCAUCGUAUACAAUGAACACGGCCAACGAUCAGCUCUGACAACUAACUUUACAUUAAAGUACAAGAGAAAUAUUGUGUCGAAGGCCAUAUCUUAUAGCAAGUCCACCAGUGCUUGUUAUUUCCAUGUGACCAAUCUAACUACCUAAGUGGUCAAAAUUAAGAGAGUUCGACCACCAAAUUCUAAAGACUAGCAUCAUGCACGCAAGCCACGUAGAAUUACAUAAAGAGUUCCCAUAUCGAUUAAUUAUUCAGCAUACGUCAAAAAAGGAAUGAUAUUGCUAGCCACCGCACACAGGAAGCACAAAAAGAAACGCUACAACCAACCUACCUCGAUUAGAAAAAUAAUCAAACAUAUAUACCAAAGCGAGAGUUGCAGCACUAUACAACAUUAUCCUCUUCGCCACUCCCAGCUAGUCUCAACUCUCAAGCGAACGAGACACAUCCCAAUCGUCAACCAAACUAGCAUCACAUAGAGGCGGCAUGCGGAGAAAACAAUAUGGCUCUAUGCACACGUAGAUGGUACAUCACUGAUUUUCACUAUUGCAGAACCACAUCUAUCUACAAUCUGUACAAGGGGAUAAUGAAUCCAGUAAUCCAACCACACUGCAUGUACGAAACAUUAUACCCUCCCAAACCACAACAUAAUUGCAUUGUUUAUUGACAUCUCAAGUAAUAAUUCCAGCACUGAUGGCACACCUGCUUAUCUAACCAGGUGCAUCAACAUGAUCAAUCCACGUCUAUACUUUUCCGGUCAUGUCGUAACAUGAGCUGCUUGUACCUUGGACGUAAUCAUUCUUCAAACUAUUAAACCUUUUCCUGGAAAGCGGGGAAAAAGGUCAUAAUUGACGUUAGACCAUAAUGUUACGAAUUUAUCAGUGCUUAUUCCCUGGGCUGUAAGAAUGCCCUAAGUGAAUAGCAGUACCUCAGCAACUCUAGCAAUAGUAAAUCAACUCUGGGCACACUCGAAACCCUCAGCAAACUCAUGCAUCCGAAAUCGUUCCAAAAAUUCGAAAGGCCUGCAUAUAGAAUGUGACCUUUUCCACAUCAGAAUUCAGAACUAAACAAUAACAUUGUACUGGUUUGUUGCCAUUACAUUUGACAUAAGCCAUGGCGGGUAAGUGACACUAAGAGAGGAUGGUGUUUAUUGUUUAUUUAUAUUAACUUAGCUAAUCUCCUAGAAUCAAAUGGCAUUGGAAGAAAACACAUUUGGUAAUGUACUAUAGAAAUGGCAAUUUCAAAGAUAGCAUGGGCACUGGAUGAAAAUCACAUCACUGCGCCAAAUAUUACUUAUGCUAGUCUAAUUAAAAGAGCAUAUCACAGUAUGAUGUUCUUAGUGAACCUUACAGCAAAAUUUGACGGUUCCGACAUAACUUCCGCUGAUUAUUCUCUAUGGCACUCAACACAUCAAGUUCUGGUCCUGCGACCAUAGAUGUAGCAUUUGCAUCGGGUGUCCAUAGCUAAUAAAUAAACAAAGAAAAGACAAAAGAGUGAGCCAAAUACUCAAGUACUACACUAGAAUAUAUUAAGCCACUUCAGAGAAAAUUGACAAUAUAGCACGGAAUAACGACAUGAUUCACAACCUUUCACUCAUUGUAUGGCUGACAUGCAGGGCCAGGACCCCCAUGUCAGGUGAUACAAUUGUAGCACAUGUGAACAUAGAAGUCAUUUUGUGGUAUGUGAGGAACAGCCUUAUAUAUUGGAUUAUCAAUUGCAACAAGUACAGGUUAUAUACCUUUAUCGUAUUAUCGAUUCCACUUGUUGCAACCGCGCAGUCAAAGGGAUGAGACUGUAUGCAGUUCACAACUAACGAAAAUACAGCACAAGUGAGAACCAGUGUUAAAAAGAUAACAGCAAAAGGGAAUUGAAAUAUAAUUACCAGCUCCAUCCCCUGCAAGCAUUUUAAUAAGCCUUCCUGUUCUCUUCUCCCAUAUGAACCAUCUACCAUCAUCACUUCCGCUGGCAAUGAACUCCCCUGUUGUAAGAGGAAUAAAGCACAAUAGUUGAGAACCGCAAGGGUAAGCUCAUAUUAUCGUGUAAAUUUUGCAUCCAAUUCAGAUGUUUUUUUCAUGCGAGGUUCUGGAUGUUUCAAGUGGGGAAGAACACAGCAUGAUAUUUUAUGUUUCAUGAAUCUAAGAAGAUCUGAGUCAGCGCAAGCUGUUAUGUAUUUAGUUAGUUUUAGUGACUACUGUAAAGUCCAGACUCCAGAUUUCCUUAACACAAGGCAUCAUGUUACUUUCAAAACAAAUAAAUUUAACUACAGGCUAGCACAGCAGAGUUCUAUGCCUUACUCUUACACAAAAAGUUAACAUGUUUCUGUUACUAUAAAUCUGCAAAUGAAAAUACAAGUGUUGAUGGAGCUGGUAAUCUGCGAAUGUAUUUUAACAUGUCUUCUAGCGAAAGUAGAACUAAAACAAGAACGCAUGAAGGACUAGCAUACCUUGCUCACCAAGAAAGCUAGCUUGUUUUAUAUCUGUCCCCACAUUGCAGUGUGCAACAUAUCUUUGUUUCAUAUCAAUGGCAACGUCCGACUGCAUCGCACGAUUUUGGAAAGUUGUGUUAAAAUCCAUGCACGAGCAUUAUAAAAAAAGUAUCUCUUAUUAGGUAUCACAUAAAAGGACGAUAAUAGAGGAAAUAACUACCUGGAGGGCAGAAUCAUCAUUGUGAGUGGAUUCGGUCGAUCCAUUCUCACCAGCCUGCUCAUUAGUUUGAUCCUCUCUUUGAUGAAAUCUGAAACUUAAACUACCACGAAAGACACCUUGAUCAUUCUCUCGGCUUUCAUCACCGGAUACUGAUGUCUCAUAGUCUAAUUCCAUUUCAUCGUCAUAAUCUGAAUCUUCUCGUCCCUCCUGUGAUGAAGAACCACUAACAUCGGAUCUAAACAAUAUAUCACUCAAUGAGCGUAAUUUCCCAUGUGUAUCAGCUUUAGCAUUCCCAUUCUGAUCCGUUCUGUUCUUCUCAAGUUCAGCUGCUUGAACAAAAGAAAUAUAUCACAAUAUAGAAGAUCAACAUCUUAAAAAUUAUAAUUCCUCGACUUCAAUGCCCAGAGCUUGAAAGUAGAAAGAGGCAUAAUGGACUGAGACACACAAACAGGCUAUGAGCAUGAUAUGCUCAUAAAAGGAAAACUCUAGGUCAUCUGUUUAUCAGUGAAGAACUAACAUAUAUUCAUAGCAGCAGAUACCAAUAAUGGAAGAUUAAUACUCCCGCCGUCCCAAAUUACUAUUGGUUUUGGCUUUUCUAGGUACAUAGCUCUAGAUAUGCACCUAGAUACAUAUUAUGUCUAGAUACAUAGUAAAAGUUAUGUAUCUAGAAAAGCUAAAACGAAUAGUAUUUUGGGACGGAGGAAGUAAUAGAUAAUAGAGUGCAGUAGAUGGAAGGAAAACAUCAUCUUGAUCAUGUAGCAUGCAAAUAAGUUAAUACCCAUAAAUAAUCAGUUCAUAUGCUAAAGUUAUGUGACAAAAUAAUAGUUUAUGACGUUAUCACAAAUAUACUCACCUGAAGCAACACGCUGCUUUAUAUCAUCCACCUGCUUCCUCAAUUCAGAAUGAGGCGGAAGAAGACUAUUUACCGCUUCUGCAUACUCAGAGGCCUCCUUCAGUCUUCCUAACUACACAAGGCAUGGCACGACUAUUUAAGAUACGGAAGCUAAGGAUCUGAUUCAGGACUUUUAAUUAAAUGAUUACUAAAUUUUAUUAGCGAGUCCAAAAGUAAACAAAGUAGACAAUGUGAUUAAACAAGGACCGAUCGGCUUAUCGGAAUUAUCAAAGCUUCAUGUAUUAGAGAUUGCUCAUGCUCAUAAAAUUUAUCUGGGAAAAGAAUAGGAAAAUAUUCAGUUAAAAAAGAACAGGAAAACAUAAUGACUUCUGAAUUUCUCGAACCCUUCAUGUUAGUGUGAAAUUCAACAUUUCCACAGGAACAAACUCGUGAAGGCUUGACCAGUUCGUAUAGAUACAGAGCUACUUCCUCCGUCCCAAAUUACUAUUCGUUUUGGCUUUUCUAGGUAUAUAGCUUUUGCUACGUAUGUAGACAUAGCGUAUAUCUAAAUGCGUAGCAAAAGCUAUGUACCUAGAAAAGCCAAAACGAAUUGUAAUUUGGGACGGAGGGAGUACCAAACUAUUUUUGCAGUAUACACGCAUGUUGUUCAAACUGAUUCACAGAUGCUUACCUGUAAUAGUGCCUCUGACAUAUAUAAGUGUGCUUGAUAGGAUGUGGGAUAAAUAUUCCGCGCGCUGUUGCAGUCCCGAAUUGCCAUGUAAACGUCAUUUUUCCACUUCCUCUGUACAUCAAAGUUUUAUGAUCCCUACAUUUAUUAUGGAACAGAACUUUCACAUGUGACCAACAAAGCAGACAAACCUUAAGGUAUAAUCCUGCUCGAGUGCACAAGCAAUCAUGCCUCAUGUCAUCAUCAAUAUCAGGUCCCACUGAUUCAAGUACUUCGCCGCAUGCGUCAAUCCCACACAUUAAGUUCUUGCCCGUCACCAGAGAUCUAGUCGCAACUUGCAUAAAUUUCCUGCACAUAUCUACCUGAAACGGGCGCCAUGAAAGGCAGAGGGGUUCAAUAUGUGUAGCAGAUGAAGAGACGGAUAUGAUAUGACAAAAUGUCGUGAUGUUAGAAGCUAAACUGCACGAGAGAGAGAGGGAGGGAGGGAGGGAGGGAGUCUCACCCUAAGUAAUUUCCUUGAAGUUGCGUUCACUGAAUCCUUCCUUUGUUUUGCAAGUUUUUUUGCUGCUACUUUGUGAAAAGGGGGUAAAAAUAAUUGCUCUCGUACAUAAUCUGCUGUGUAUCUCACUGAACUCGUACUAUCUGAACUGAUAACAAAAUUUGAUCAGUACAGUAUUUAAGAUCUGCCUUUGUGAAUCAACAGUGGCAGGUAAAGCAUAUAAAAGAGAAUGCAGGCUGGAGGAAAGAGGCCAAGGGCCCUAUGCCCACAUUAGGUUGUGUAUUAGUGUGUGUUGGUGAGUGAGUUGGAGUGAUGGAGUGCGUGUUUGUUGUAAUCUUCCUUUUGGAAGAGUAAUUGUUCAGACUCAGGCUUUAUUUCUAUAAUUCAAAGAUACACAGCUCUCAAACACAUUAGAAAGAAAGACAAAGAAAGUGCACAAAGUGAGCGAAAUGAUC
rnacentral:lncRNA from 1 species